UACGUAGGGUGCGAGCGUUAAUCGGAAUUACUGGGCGUAAAGCGUGCGCAGGCGGUGAUGUAAGACAGGUGUGAAAUCCCCGGGCUCAACCUGGGAAUUGCGAUGGAGACUGCAAGGCUAGAAUCUGGCAGAGGGGGGGUAGAAUUCCACGUGUAGCAGUGAAAUGCGUAGAGAUGUGGAGGAACACCGAUGGCGAAGGCAGCCCCCCUGGGCCAAAAACUGACGCUCAGGC
rnacentral:rRNA from 1 species